GUGCCAGCCGCCGCGGUAAUACCGGCAGCUCAAGUGAUGGCCACUCUUAUUGGGCCUAAAGCGUCCGUAGCUGGCUGCGCAAGUCCGUCGGGAAAUCCACUCGCCCAACGAGUGGGCGUCCGACGGCAACUGCACAGCUUGGGACCGGAAGGCUCGAAGGGUACGUUCGGGGUAGGAGUGAAAUCCCGUAAUCCUGGACGGACCGCCGAUGGCGAAAGCACGUCGCGAGAACGGAUCCGACAGUGAGGGACGAAAGCUAGGGUCUCGAACCGGAUUAGAAACCCUGGUAGUCC
rnacentral:rRNA from 1 species